UAAAUAAGAAGCAAAAUUUGCAUUUAAUUUCGACUUAAAAGAUGAGUUUAAUAAAC
rnacentral:tRNA from 1 species